rnacentral:rRNA from 1 species
GAUGAACGCUGGCGGCGUGCCUAAUACAUGCAAGUCGAGCGAACAGAUGAGGAGCUUGCUCCUCUGACGUUAGCGGCGGACGGGUGAGUAACACGUGGAUAACCUACCUAUAAGACUGAGAUAACUUCGGGAAACCGGAGCUAAUACCGGAUAAUAUAUUGAACCGCAUGGUUCAAUAGUGAAAGACGGUUUUGCUGUCACUUAUAGAUGGAUCCGCGCCGCAUUAGCUAGUUGGUAAGGUAACGGCUUACCAAGGCAACGAUGCGUAGCCGACCUGAGAGGGUGAUCGGCCACACUGGAACUGAGACACGGUCCAGACUCCUACGGGAGGCAGCAGUAGGGAAUCUUCCGCAAUGGGCGAAAGCUUGACGGAGCAACGCCGCGUGAGUGAUGAAGGUCUUCGGAUCGUAAAACUCUGUUAUUAGGGAAGAACAAAUGUGUAAGUAACUAUGCACGUCUUGACGGUACCUAAUCAGAAAGCCACGGCUAACUACGUG